rnacentral:tRNA from 1 species
GGAGUAUAGCUCAGUGGUAGAGCGCAUGCUCAACAUGCAGGAGGUCCUGGGUUCAAUCCCCAACACCUCCA